UGCGAUUCAUUAGAAGUAACGAGUUGACAUAAGGUAAAUCUACAUCGAGGGGGCCUUUCUUUGAGUGCAUGGGGAAGCUUCAUUAACCAUCGCUAACAAGGCGUGCAAAUGCUCUGAUUGGGCAGCUUUCUUGUAACGCCAGGGCCUUAGCAGGAUGCCCACCUAAUGAGGGUCACUACAA
rfam:Gavia stellata contig54723, whole genome shotgun sequence.